UACGUAGGUGGCGAGCGUUGUCCGGAUUUACUGGGCGUAAAGGGAGCGUAGGCGGACUUUUAAGUGAGAUGUGAAAUACCCGGGCUCAACUUGGGUGCUGCAUUUCAAACUGGAAGUCUAGAGUGCAGGAGAGGAGAAUGGAAUUCCUAGUGUAGCGGUGAAAUGCGUAGAGAUUAGGAAGAACACCAGUGGCGAAGGCGAUUCUCUGGACUGUAACUGACGCUGAGGCUCGAAAGCGUGGGAAGCAAACAG
rnacentral:rRNA from 1 species